CAAAGAAGCAACUGUAGAUCUAGAAUAAGACCAAGCUACGAGGAGAAAGAAGAGAGGAGGCACGGAGAAGUAGAAUAGCAGAAAAAAGGAACAAUAAUUUUCAGAGAUGCAGGGGUGAGAACUACAGUUCCCACCCUUAGCGGGUUAUCCACCUAACCCGCUAAGGGUAGGAACUAUAGCGGGACAUGUUUGUUUCACUGAAACUAGAGUUUGGGUUGAAGUGGACUUUGGGUUGAAGUGAAGUUCAGUGAAAACUACUUCUUCUUCGCUGUUUGUUUCGUAGUAAUGAAAGUGAAGUUCCAUUAGUUCUGCUGUUUGUUUGGUAGGAAGUGUAUGAUGUAAAACUAUAAUUUAUAUAUAAAUAAUAAAUAUUUUAAUAAAUAAAAAUAAUAUAAUUAUAUUUUUGUAUAAUUAAAAUUUAAUUUAAAACAACUAAAUUAUUUUUGUAUACAUAAAUUAUAGUAAUACAACAAUAAAAUUAUAAAGUAAAAAAAUAUUAAUACUUAAUUAAUCAAUUUUUAUCAUAUUUUAAAUGUACAAACUAAAUAAAAGAGAUAUUAAAGCUUAACUAAUCAAUUUUUAUCAUAUUUUAAAUAUUUUAACUAAAUAAAAAAAUAAUUAAUAACAUAAUUAAAUAUAUUUAAAUAAAACUAUCUUUAUCUAUAAUAUUAUUUUAUUAUUUUUUUUUCACUUCUUUUCACCGUAAUUGACUUCAGCCCAUGAUGGGGCGAAGUAAAUUACGCCGUUCGAGGUUAACUUGAGUUUCAACCAUAACUUUUUUACGGCGAACCAAACAACGAAAGUGAUCGUUUAGAGCGAAAAUGUCUUCCCUUCUCUCCACUUCCACCCCAUUUCCACCCAAACAAACAUGGUUA
rnacentral:lncRNA from 1 species